CACAUGCACACACUCACAAACACACAGCACACAUGGAUAACCAUCCAUCUCCAGUGCACUAGCUCUAUCCUCAGGCUGUGGACUCACCCGGUGAGGACAACCACGAAGUCCAUUACGUUCCAGCCGUUACGAAGAGAGAGGGAGUGAAAGAAGAAGGGAUUACUGUUUUUGUUCAGAGGAAGAGAGAAUUUAAUGAAGCAUCGAAGGAGAAAUGGAGUAAGAGGAAAAAGCAACGAAGAAUGGCUUAAGAAACACGGGCUCACUUUGUGAUGAGGGAAAUGAAAUGAAGUGUUACACCGGGUUAAACCUUUUCAAACGAUAAGAUGACUCCGCCCACUUCCACAGGGCAUGAUCUCAGGCUGAUUCAACAGUGUAGCAGUCAAAACCACCACCAUCAACGCGUCAAUGUGAGGCAAUACCUUUUGGAAGAAUAGGGUUUAUCACAUCACUACAGUUCUAGAGGCUUCUACAAUCUGUGGCAAAAUGAAACGAAUCUGUUUUGGCAGCUCUCUGUUUCACUUACGUUUGUUGCCUGUCUGUAUUUUCCUAACAGCUCACAGGAUGUGAGGAAAACCAUUCCCAGCAUAGUUAAUUGGUACAUUUAAUUGCUGUUAUAAACAUCCAAAUAUCACAUAUUUCAA